rnacentral:rRNA from 1 species
CGGACGGGUGAGUAACGCGUGGGAAUCUACCUAGUAGUGGAGGAUAACUCGGGGAAACUCGAGCUAAUACUGCAUACGCCCUACGGGGGAAAGCGGGGGAUCUUCGGACCUCGCGCUAUUGGAUGAGCCCGCGUUAGAUUAGCUUGUUGGUGAGGUAAUGGCUCACCAAGGCGACGAUCUAUAGCUGGUCUGAGAGGAUGAUCAGCCACAUUGGGACUGAGACACGGCCCAAACUCCUACGGGAGGCAGCAGUGGGGAAUAUUGCGCAAUGGGCGAAAGCCUGACGCAGCCAUGCCGCGUGUGUGAAGAAGGCCUUCGGGUUGUAAAGCACUUUCAAUAGGGAGGAAAGGUUGUAACUUAAUACGUUGCAACUGUGACGUUACCUAUAGAAGAAGGACCGGCUAACUCCGUGCCAGCAGCCGCGGUAAUACGGAGGGUCCGAGCGUUAAUCGGAAUUACUGGGCGUAAAGCGCGCGUAGGCGGCUUCGUCAGUCAGAUGUGAAAGCCCCGGGCUCAACCUGGGAACUGCAUUUGAUACUGCGGAGCUAGAGUAUGGUAGAGGAUAGUGGAAUUCCAGGUGUAGCGGUGAAAUGCGUAGAUAUCUGGAGGAACAUCAGUGGCGAAGGCGACUGUCUGGACCAAUACUGACGCUGAGGUGCG